rnacentral:rRNA from 1 species
GUGCAGCAGGCGAGAAUAGUCUACAAUGGACGAAAGUCUGAUAGUGCGACGCCGUGUGUGCGAUUAAUUCCUUCGGGAUGUAAAGCACUUUUCUAUGAGAUAAAAGCUCUUUAGGUUAAUAGCUUAUUGAGACGGAUAUUAUUAUAGGAAUAAGCUCCGGCUAACUCCGUGCCAGCAGCCGCGGUAAUACGGAAGGAGCGAGCGUUGUCCGGAUUUACUAGGCGUAAAGGGCUAGUAGGCGACUAAUUAAGUUAUAUGUUAAAUCCCACGGCUCAACUGUGGUCCUGCAUGUAAUACUGGUUAGAUAGAGUACUGUAGAGGAAGGCAGAAUUCCUGGAGUAGCGGUGGAAUGCGCAGAUAUCAGGAAGAAUACCAAAAGCGAAGGCAGCCUUCCGGGCAGUUACUGACGCUGAAUAGCGAAGGUGUGGGUAGCGAACAGGAUUAGAUACCCCUGUAGUCCCUGAA